rnacentral:rRNA from 1 species
AUUGAACGCUGGCGGCAUGCCUUACACAUGCAAGUCGAACGGUAACAGAUCUUCGAAUGCUGACGAGUGGCGAACGGGUGAGUAAUACAUCGGAACGUGCCUAGUAGUGGGGGAUAACUACUCGAAAGAGUGGCUAAUACCGCAUGAGAUCUACGGAUGAAAGCAGGGGAUCGCAAGACCUUGUGCUACUAGAGCGGCCGAUGGCAGAUUAGGUAGUUGGUGGGAUAAAAGCUUACCAAGCCGACGAUCUGUAGUUGGUCUGAGAGGACGAUCAGCCACACUGGGACUGAGACACGGCCCAGACUCCUACGGGAGGCAGCAGUGGGGAAUUUUGGACAAUGGGCGCAAGCCUGAUCCAGCAAUGCCGCGUGCAGGAUGAAGGCCUUCGGGUUGUAAACUGCUUUUGUACGGAACGAAAAGCCCUGGGUUAAUACCCUGGGGUCAUGACGGUACCGUAAGAAUAAGCACCGGCUAACUACGUGCCAGCCGCCGCCGUAACAC